AAUAUAUUGUGAAUAUCAAAUACAUCUUUAUUUAAUAAAUACAUUUCAAGACACUGGAAGAUGAAACAAAUGUGACAUCGGAAUUAUGAUAACUAUCGUUACCAUCCCUGGAAACAUUUAACGAAGCAUUUUACCUAAAAGGAUUAUCAUCCGCCUCCUCUCUCUCUCUCUCUCUCUCUCUCUCUAAGUACAUUCUAUUGAGGUGGUUAAUAGUUUACUACGAGUCAGAACAGGAAUAGUAUUUAGUUUAGUCCUCCCUUCAGUUUUGUGAUAUGCAAGCAUUGCACUGCUAUUAACACCACCACCACCACCACUACUACUACUACUGCUGCCGUGUGACCUGCAACUACUAGAGUCUCCUCGAUCUGUGCAUGGUGGACAAGAGUAGCUAUGGUAACAGCUGCUGCUGCAUGGUGCAAAGUGAGACCUUCCAAUGUUGAAGGCUACAUUUUGUUUAGUUGUGGUGCUAUCAGCGAAGGAAUUUUGCCUACUCUCUUUGUAACGGAAAAGAGCAAUGUGCUUGUGGGACCUCACCUGUGGUGCCUCCUCCAGGCAUGGUGUCAGCAGAGAUGACACCUGGGAAACGCAGGCAACGGAAGUCCAGACCAAACCUGUGGUGGUAGUACUCACCCAAUAGUUCGGCAUGAACCUGGGAGAGGAGAUGCUUUUUCCUGCAGAUGGCGUACGAGAACCCCGGGACUCCCUCUAAACAUUUGUUGGCCGAAGACACAAGGUAAUCGAUUUUUGCGGCGGUGAGAUCCAGUGGUACGGCACCAAAGCUGCUCAUGGCGUCAACGAAAAACACAGUGCCUGGGAACACCGAGGAACACUUUUUUGGGACCAUUAGAACGAGUAUGGGUACGUCCUCCGCGUAUGUCUCAUGUCGCGUCUCAAUUGCGGCAUACUUGCACAUCUUCACCAUCCUGUUCCCGUAGGCUCCGUUGGCCAACACCAAUACCUGCGGGAAGGUAGAGGGGCGUCACUCCUGCUUCCCCUCCUCACCCCGUGCUUUAUUGGUGUACGAUGAUCCUGUAUGUGUGUUGGCGUUAAAAGUACUUACCCGUCUCCUCUUCAUAUUCCUCCUUUCCUUCUGUUUCUUUGAUUCAACAUGAAGCCACCACUAU